UUCUAGAGGUAAUUAACAUCUAACAUCUGCAGACUACUUGCCUUGUUACUGCCGUGCCUAUUUUGAAUAUAUAUAUUCAAAAUAGGCACAGAAUUAACAAGGCAAGUAUUCAGUAGAUGUUAGAUAGGAUGAGCUAAGGCUGGAG
rnacentral:pre_miRNA from 1 species